AGGGCGGAUAACUUGUAAGCCAGGGUGGUCUUUCGGCGCAGUUCCACUUUCUCCUCCACGCUUCACGUUCUCAAGUUAUACCGGAAUAGUGUGAGAAAGAGUCGGAGCCCAAGAGUGAACUUUAUCGGAAGCUUGUCGAGCGUCGCGCCGCUGACGUCACGAUCGGCGUCUCCGCCAUCUUCGUUGUGGCUGGAGAGCUGGCGAUUUAGGAAGUGCGGCUUGUGUGCUGCCGCGUAGAUAGAUGCUGAGGCUAUGCGGUCUUGGCGUGGUGCUGAGCCUGGUCGCGGCGGCGGCGGCCGUCUUGGGCGUGUGGUUGAUGGACUGGUGGGGUCCCCGCUCUGGCCUUCGCCUCUUCGUACCCGAGGAGCUAGCCCGCUAUCGCGGCGGCCCAGGGGACCCGGGUCUGUACUUGGCGUUGCUCGGCCGCGUCUACGACGUGUCCUCUGGCCGGAAGCAUUACGAGCCUGGGGCGCACUAUAGCGGCUUCGCAGGCCGGGAUGCAUCCAGAGCAUUUGUGACAGGAGACUAUUCUGAAGCUGGCCUCGUGGAUGAUGUAACUGGCUUGUCCUCCUCUGAGAUACUGAUACUUCACAAUUGGCUUUCAUUCUACGAGAAAAACUAUAUAUUUGUCGGGAGAUUGGUUGGAAGAUUCUACGGAGAGGAUGGGCUACCCACUUCAGAACUAAUCCAGGUAGAGGCCAUGGUGACUAAAGGCAUGGAGGCAAAUGAACAACAACAGAGAGACAAACAGAAGUUCCCUCCAUGUAAUGCUGAGUGGAGCUCUGCCAAAGGCAGCCGGCUCUGGUGCUCCCAAAAGAGUGGAGGUGUGAACAGAGACUGGAUUGGUGUCCCCAGGAAGCUGUAUAAGCCAGGGGCCAAGGAGCCCCACUGUGUGUGUGUGAGAACAACUGGCCCCCCUAGUGACCAGCAAGACAACCCUAGACACUCAAAUCGUGGGGACUUGGACAACCCCAACUUGGAAGAAUACACAGGCUGCUCACCUCUGGCCAUGGAGUGUUCCUUCCCAAUCUAAGAUGGUGUCCUAUAUGUGAUGACACAUGGAGAACCUUCCCUAGAUCUUCAGAAAGCCCUUAAUAAUAGGAGGCUCCUGGCAUGAAAGUAGGAGGGUCAAGGACUCCAGCCUCACUCUGCAAACGUGUGUCACAAUUCUGUUGGCUGAGAGAAGAACCGGAUAGCCUACCUGGUGUGGUCAGAUUGUUUUGACACUAUUCGGAAGCUUGGUCCCCUGUCAUCUUCCUUCAGAGCCUGCAGACAUUAAUGAAUAUAUCGUGAUCGAUGUAGAUCUGCCUGGAUACAUGCUGCCCUAAUCAGAGCUUGGACUCUGCCCGUCAUGCCAGUCCUGCUGGUAUAUGGAGCAGUAGCAGAACAAAAUUGUGGCUCUCAGCAGAGAUGCAGGCAUUUCCCAAGAAGCUAUGCAUCUUACAGUAUCAAGACAGUCCUGAGCACAGUUCCUGAGUGCUGGGAUUAAAGGGGAUGGGACCAUCCAAGUUCCUAAGAAGCCCCUACAGAAUAAGCAAGAUCACCAUAGCUACUCUGAGUUGGGGGCAAGCAAAAUGAAGAAGACUAGAGAAAGAACACAUUAAUCCAAAAUCCAAAGAAACAAUGCUGCUAAGUGCCAUGGUCCCAGAUGCUACUGUCAUUCCCACACUGAGCACCACCAGUGGUUUGGAAGCCAAAGUGACCCAUCUAAACAUGUGCCUACAGUUUUAAAGGCCCAGCUGCUGCCUUGUCCUUGUACCACAAGGAUGUCACAAAACACCCAGCUCCACAUGGCUGCCAAACAGGCAAGUCAGUAAGUACAGUAGUCCCCAGACUCUCUUGCUAUAGAAAACCAAUGUUGUCAGUUGUAACAGUUAAUGAAUUAUUUAUGCCACACCAAAGAGGACUGUAUAGGCAGUGAUCCUCCAGAGAAAGUCUUUAAGGCAUCCAUGACAUUUGGGAUUUAAUAUAUUUAGUGAACCAGUCAAGUUUUUCAUUAGGUCAAUUCUGUAAAGUGAACAUGGCUCAGAAGCCUGUGCUGUGCUGUGUCCUCUGUUGGGCUGGCAGGGGAGCUCUGGAGCUUCAGGUGGCUCUGGGGGGCUGGUCAUGAAGGAAGCCAGUGUCUGUGAGGGAGGCAUACUUUAUACUUGUACAUGAUGCUGUUGUUGCCUCUCAGGCACUUCAGCCAUGUUCUUUUCCUCCAGGUAAGGAAAUCCUAGAUGGAGGCUUUGCCCCCAACCCCUUGUCUGCAAAUAAGACUAGUUCAGUAUGAGGGUCAGGCACGAACUGGGAAGGGCAGUGAGACCACACACCCAGUUCCCUGAAAGACCCAUUCAAGGAAAAGGAGGAAGCUGACAGGUAGUCAGAAACAACUCAGGGCUCUGAGGUAGAGAAUAAAAACAUCACAUGGACCCCACUGUUUGGAGAGAAUACGGCAGGUGAGCUGAGCAGUGAAUAUUCAGCCUUGACUGAAUUGGUUAUUGGGGUGGAAUAGGCCUAAAAUUUGUGACUAACACAUGACUGAGUGAGACACCAGUGAAAACACAACUGGAAACAGGAGUCCUCAGUGUAGGCACUUAAGCUUGUGGGACAUCGAUGUUAGAGGAUCAUAGCAAAUUUGUUAAAGCACAUGGUUUGUACCUGUUUAAAAAAAAAACACCUUAAUGAUACACUGUACAGUAAGACUAGUGAUGAACAAGAGGCAGUUAAAAGCUAGGAAAGCACAGUAGUGCUAACUGAUGCAGCAAUGUUUCAGUAAAGUUUAUUCUUCCUGCUCUGCUCAUUUGCAACUGAGAACUUUUUGAGUGAAUAAAAUGUUUUGUUGCUAGUUCUCAAGGUGCUGAUUAAGACUGAGCAAGAACAGCUAAGAAGUUUCAUGGUGAAAUGUGGUCAGCAUGGAGAAAGCACAGGAGAGAUACACAGUAAGUCUGGUCCUGGCCAGGGCAGUGCAGAGCAGGAGUGCUGCACAGGGAACAUCGCGUGGUCUGGCUGUGGAAGGAUGCUUGAGUCAUGUCUACAGCAAGGGUACUGAUGCCCAAGGCACACAGUCCCUCUCAGCCAUAGCUGGUCACUAUGCUGACCUCUGAAGGAAUUGAAGCUUGAACCCACAUCCUUUUAGGCGUGAACUUCAGAUUGUAAGUACAGUUAUAGGCAGGAUUGUUAUUGAAACUGGUAUAGGUCAAGGACAAAAUGAUCAGCUUCAUCCUGAUUCCCUAUUUUCCCCUCUUCACUGUAAACAUGAAAAACAAGUGUAUGCGUACCGACCACCUUGGUUCAUAGCAGAACCAUAAUUACCUUCCUCAUUAAAGAAUCAUGGUACCAACUAAA